rnacentral:rRNA from 1 species
GACGAACGCUGGCGGCGUGCCUAACACAUGCAAGUCGAGCGGGAACCUCAGGAGGGGUAACCCUUCUGAGGGGAGAGCGGCGAACGGGUGAGUAACACGUGGGCAACCUGCCCCGGACACCGGGAUAACCCACGGGAAACCUGAGCUAAUACCGGAUACUCCGGCGCGAUCGCAUGGUCGUGCCGGGAAAGCUCCGACGGUCCGGGAUGGGCCCGCGGCCUAUCAGCUUGUUGGUGGGGUAACGGCCCACCAAGGCGACGACGGGUAGCUGGUCUGAGAGGACGGCCAGCCGCACUGGGACUGAGACACGGCCCAGACUCCUACGGGAGGGCAGCAGUGGGGGAUCUUGCGCUAAUGCGCGAAAGCGUGACGCAGCGACGCCGCGUGGGGA